rnacentral:misc_RNA from 1 species
GAUGAAGAACGUAGCGAAAUGCGAUAAGUAAUGUGAAUUGCAGAAUUCAGUGAAUCAUCGAAUCUUUGAACGCACAUUGCGCCCUCUGGUAUUCCGGGGGGCAUGCCUGUUCGAGCGUCAUUAUAACCACUCAAGCUCUCGCUUGGUAUUGGGGUUCGCGGUUUCGCGGCCCCUAAAAUCAGUGGCGGUGCCUGUCGGCUCUACGCGUAGUAAUACUUCUCGCGAUUGAGUUCGAUAGGUCUACUUGCCAGUAACCCCCAAUUUUUACAGGUUGACCUCGGAUCAGGUAGGGAUACCCGCUGAACUUAAGCACAUCAAUAAGCGGAGGA